CCAGAAGCAACAUGACUAUUGCGGAGGAGGACGAGAAGAAAGGUUGAUUCUGUUUCAGUGUUUCAAGCAUGAAAGCCAUUGCUGACAUUCCUAUCAGUUUCUACCAAACUAUUCUUAAAACCAAUCUUCAAAGCAUGGUAAGAGAGAAAAUAUGCAACACACACUCUGAUCUUUCUAGAGAGAAGCCAGAGAAAAACUUCCUAGCCUCCAGGACACUCCUCACUGGAGAGAUGAUGAAGAUGAUGAACACCAAGAGAGCAAAGGAAGGCACACACACAAGCGAACCAAAAACACCAUUUCUGAAGAAAAAACCCUUCCUUUCACCGAUGUGAAUCGGUUAAACCUUCUCCUUCUUCGAUCUGAGCAUUUUUCACCGAUUAAAAUCGAAAAUACCAAAUGCAUUCACUGCAAAAUAUGGUGGUGACUUACCCAAUCCUUUGUACAUGAACCUUCCAAAUGGAAGUAAAUGGAAAGUGAUUUGGAAAAAAGUCAACAGUGAGAUUUGGCUGACAGAAGGAUAGAAGGAAGGACAAGAAGGCUAAUAAGAAGUUGCGGUUGGAAUCUCUGGUUCUAGUGGAGGCGGAGAAGGAUUUGAAGUUACAAAAUUUGGCCAUGGACGUGUUGCACUGAUUGGAUUUCCAAGUGUGGGGAAGUCUACUCUUUUGACAAUGAUAUCGGGCACACACUUUGAAGUUGCAUCUUAUGAGUUCACAACUCUGACCUGCAUUCCUGGGAUUAUAAACUAUAAUGAUACUGAAAUUCAGUUACUCGAUCUUCCUGGAACUAUUGAAGGUGCUUUUGAAGGCAAGGGACGAGGGAGACAGGUAAAACUAAUAUUGCUGUUUUCUAUCAUUCUAGGGAUGGGGGUAGUGUUUACCUUAAUUUUUCUUAAAAUUUUUAAAUAACAUUGAUCAUAAAUCAUCUAAUGGAAAACUAUAUAUCAAUAAAAGAGUAAAUUUAACUUAUCUCAUAGUUAGCAUAACAUAAAUGGUUGAUUCAAUAACAGUAGCAAUGUUUAAUUGUCUAACAUAUGGAAACACCUUAAAGUAACCUUGCUUCUUUACUGUAUUUUUCUUCAAAUUCUUUAGUAGCAAGAACACAGUUUCAUGUAGGGAGAUUAUUUAUAGUUUUUGAAAAUAUUAAUUUUAAAAAUACAAUCUUCUUUGAAGCUAGCCUUGGUUGUCAUCGUCGUUAGAUUUCAUUUAUUUUAAUCAAAAUAUUUCAUGCAUCUUUGCUUCUCUUGUUAAUUUGAAAUUACUCCUUAGAAAAUUACU